rnacentral:misc_RNA from 1 species
AAACCCUCAACCCUAGAUUGGUUAAAACCUUUCUUUGGUUUGGAUUUGGACGUUUGCCGAUGAUAAGUCGGCUCGUCUUAAAAGUAAUAGCUGGAUCUGUCUCGCGACAUGGUUUGACUUGGCGUAAUAAGUAUUUCGCUAAGGACAUCUUCGGAUGGCCGCGUUGCAGGACUAAAGACCGCUUUCUAAUCCAUUGAUCUUCGGAUUAAUACUCUUGAC